rnacentral:rRNA from 1 species
GACGAACGCUGGCGGCGUGCUUAACACAUGCAAGUCGAACGGAAGCGCCCUGCUUUUGUGGGGUGCUCGAGUGGCGAACGGGUGCGUAACAGGUGAGUAACCUGCCCUUGACUUUGGGAUAACUUCAGGAAACUGGGGCUACUCUCGGAUCGGAUCCCCUGCUGCAUGGUGGGGGUUGGAAAGUUUCGGCGGUGGGGGAUGGAUUCGCGGCUUAUCAGCUUGUUGGUGGGGUAGUGGCUUACCAAGGCUUUGACGGGUAGCCGGCCUGGGAGGGUGACCGGCCACAAUGGGACUGAGAUACGGCCCAGACUCCUACGGGAGGCAGCAGUGGGGAAUAUUGCACAAUGGGCGGAAGCCGGAUGCAGCAACGCCGCGUGCGGGAUGACGUCCUUCGGGUUGUAAACCGCUGUCGCCUGUGACGAAGCGUGAGUGACGGUAAUGGGUAAAGAAGCACCGGCUAACUACGUG